CUACGGGUUGCAGCAGUGAGGAAUAUUGCACAAUGGGGGGAACCCUGAUGCAGCAACGCCGCGUGGAGGAUGACGCAUUUCGGUGUGUAAACUCCUUUUAUAUGUCAAGAAAAUGACGGUAGCAUAUGAAUAAGCACCGGCUAACCCCGUGCCAGCAGCCGCGGUAAUACGGAGGGUGCAAGCGUUACUCGGAAUCACUGGGCGUAAAGGACGCGUAGGCGGGGUGGAAAGUCAGGUGUGAAAUCCUACAGCUUAACUGUAGAACUGCAUUUGAAACUUCUAAUCUAGAGUAUGGGAGGGGGAGAUGGAAUUAGUGGUGUAGGGGUAAAAUCCGUAGAUAUCACUAGGAAUACCUAAAGCGAAGGCGAUCUCCUGGAACAUUACUGACGCUAAGGCGUGAAAGCGUGGGGAGCAAACAGGAUUAGAUACCCCAGUAGUC
rnacentral:rRNA from 1 species